ACAUGCCUACACCAUAGUUUUAAUGCAUCGAUCCCAUUAGAACUCUCCAGUUAAGCAUGCUCAGGUUAGAAUAGUAUUGGGAUGGGUCAUCGCCUGAGAAUUACUAGUGUUUUACAUGCC
rfam:Picea glauca, whole genome shotgun sequence.